rnacentral:rRNA from 1 species
GAGCGAACGCUGGCGGCAGGCUUAACACAUGCAAGUCGAGCGGGCCCUUCGGGGUCAGCGGCAGACGGGUGAGUAACAAGUGGGAACGUACCCUUUGGUUCGGAAUAACGCUGGGAAACUAGCGCUAAUACCGGAUACGCCCUUUUGGGGAAAGGCUUGCUGCCGAAGGAUCGGCCCGCGUCUGAUUAGCUAGUUGGUGGGGUAAUGGCCUACCAAGGCGACGAUCAGUAGCUGGUCUGAGAGGAUGAUCAGCCACACUGGGACUGAGACACGGCCCAGACUCCUACGGGAGGCAGCAGUGGGGAAUAUUGGACAAUGGGCGCAAGCCUGAUCCAGCCAUGCCGCGUGAGUGAUGAAGGCCUUAGGGUUGUAAAGCUCUUUUGUCCGGGACGAUAAUGACGGUACCGGAAGAAUAAGCCCCGGCUAACUUCGUG